rnacentral:lncRNA from 1 species
GGCAAAAUCAAGCAUCCCCAGGUGAUCUGGGUGGUCAGAGCAGUAGAGUGGUGCAUGUGGCUCAUUGCUUAAUCUGCUUCAUGUCUAGAACCUGGCUGCAAGGAAGUCUGGGAAGCAAAGUGCGGGUUUUGAUUUUCCCAACUCUGCAGCUCAUGAGGGCACACUAGAUCGGCUCAAUGCAACCUCCGCCUCCCGGGUUCAAAUGAUUCUGCUGCCUCAGCCUCCCGAGUAGCUGGGAUUACAGGCACCCGCCA